rnacentral:lncRNA from 1 species
CUAAUCCUCUUUCCUUCUUCAUUUUUCCUCGCUAUGAACAAAAUGCCAUCGUUUUUGUCUGUACACAGUUUUCCACUUUUCUCCAUUUCUUUACGCAACAUCCAUGCUCGCAAGCCUCUCUUCGUUAUCACUUCCAAACAAAUUACGUCCACCAGAAUUCUUUUUCUUCUGCUAUUUUUUGUGUAUGUAAUCUGCUUCAUGUUGCAUAUUGGUAAUAUAUUUUUUGUAGGCAGUAAAUGGCGGUGGUGUUGCAGUCAAAAGACGUGCUAAAAGCCUAGAAUGGGCUUAUAGAGGAGAAGGCGCAGUGAAUCUGGUUCUUGCUUAUUCUGGAAAAUCUGCUUAUUUUGUAUGUUUUCUUAUUCUAUUUUUUACUCUUACCUUUUAUUGUGUAGACUACUUUUUAGUUUAAUUUUUGUUAGCCUAAUUGGUUAACGCUUGUUCAAACUUCAGAUAAUUUCGUUUUACAUUAUGCAGUUGCAGACCCACGUGAUCUCUCUCAAAAGUUGUUCCUGAUGUCGUUUCCGGUUUCCAUCCAUCACUAUUCAACUAAAAGGCCGAGUUUCGAUGAGUCAUUCUUCCGAGUGAUCGAAAUCGAGAUUCAGCGUGCCCAGGAGAGCGAGGACGAUGACGAGGUUUUAUUUCUUUUAUCUUUUUAAUAUCUUUAUGUAAAUAACUUGUCUUUGUUAUGUGGAUAGAUUGCAAGAAAACGAUGGAAAAUAAGGGGUGAUGUAUUCAAUUUCCUUUUGAAAUUGAAUACCAUCCUCGACAACAAACCAUAACCCUAGCCAGAGAAUAUCAGGAUGAAGCUAUCAUUCUAUACUGGUAAAUUCCCUUUUUUUUUUUUUUUCUUUUUCUUUCUUAGUUUUAGUAGUUUGAUUUAUUUUUUAUGGGUUUUCUGAAGUGCGUUUUACUGCAAUUCCUCGGUGGCUUCAAGUAAUGCUAAGUGGAAAGUUUUUUCAAUUCUUCUGCAACUUAUUGAGAAUUUUCAGAUAAGAAGGUAUGUUUAUGAAGAUGUUUUUGUGCUUAAAAGAUGCAUAGAAAUUUGUGGUCGGUUACCUUUGGAAAUAAGUUAUAAUGUCUUUUCUGAUAUGGUGCGAUCGUUUUCUCACUUUCUGAUUUACAGUCUUGCACAAAGUUGUAUCAUAUUAUGAAAAUUGAAUGAUUGGGCGUAGGAAGUAUA